UAAAAUUCUAAGAAAAAGAGAGUAACUAUGAUGGAACGAGCAGCGAGUCAGGGUAGGUGGAAGCCUGAUACGGAUCCAAGUAGUGAACCGGACUUUUGAGAAGCCAUCCUGAACACCUAGUAGGGAUGGCCGGGAAUUUCCCGUUACCAAUAACCAAGUGGCUUUUUGUUAUAGCUAAAAGAGUGGUACCGCGAGCAUAAACCUCGUCUCUUAC
rnacentral:ncRNA from 1 species